ACAGAGGGUGCAAGCGUUGUUCGGAAUUAUUGGGCGUAAAGCGCGUGUAGGCGGCUUGGCAAGUCGGGUGUGAAAGCCCUCAGCUUAACUGAGGAAGUGCGCCCGAAACUGCUUUGCUUGAGUACCGGAGAGGAUGGCGGAAUGCCCCAAGUAGAGGUGAAAUUCGUGGAUAUGGGGCGGAACACCGGUGGCGAAGGCGGCCAUCUGGACGGAUACUGACGCUGAGACGCGAAAGCAUGGGGAGCAAACAGGA
rnacentral:rRNA from 1 species